rnacentral:rRNA from 1 species
AAUUGCAGAAUCCCGUGAACCAUCGAGUCUUUGAACGCAAGUUGCGCCCGAAGCCGUUAGGCCGAGGGCACGUCUGCCUGGGUGUCACGCAACGUCGCCAAAGCCCUCAUCCUCUGGGCCUGGCGGAUGAUGGCCUCCCGGGAGCCUCGCCUCCCGGAUGGCCGAAAGAGGGGCCCGACGUGACGACUGCCACGAUCCACGGUGGUUGAGCGAACACUCGCUCGAGGCCAAGACGUGCGCGUGUCGUCCCACGGCAAGGGCCCGUCGGGUGGGCAUGCGACGGCAGAGCCCUCCGCCAGUACGCACGCGACCCCAGGUCAGGCGGGGCUACCCGCUGAGUUUA